GCCAGCAUGCCGUAGUGGUUUGAGAGUUGGACUAUGAUUCCAGAGACCAGGGUUUGAUUCCCAGCUCAGCUA